rnacentral:rRNA from 1 species
AUUGAACGCUGGCGGCAGGCCUAACACAUGCAAGUCGAGAGGAGCGGCGGACGGGUGAGUAAUGCCUAGGAAUCUGCCUGGUAGUGGGGGAUAACGUCCGGAAACGGGCGCUAAUACCGCAUACUAUCAGAUGAGCCUAGGUCGGAUUAGCUAGUUGGUGGGGUAGAGGCCUACCAAGGCGACGAUCCGUAACUGGUCUGAGAGGAUGAUCAGGCACACCGGAACUGAGACACGGUCCGGACUCCUACGGGAGGCAGGAGUGGGGCAUAUUGGACAAUUGGCUAAAGCCUGAUCCAGCCAUGCCGCGUGGGGGAAGAAGUUCUUCGGAUUUUAAAGCACUUUAUGUUUGGAGGCGUUACCAACAGAAUAAGCACCGGCUAUCUUCGUGCCAGCAGCCGCGGUAAUAC